UCUUCUCUCUCCCUCCCUCUUCCAUCGAUUGUUCUCUUCUCUUUCUCAAAACUCUCGUUUUCUUCUCUCUCUAGCUUCCCACCGCUGCUUCGACGUCGCCUGCUCAAUCUCCGCAGUUUUAAUGACGUUAACUAUAAACGCUACAGAGCAUAAGGAAUCGCGGAAGACAGAGAGAGAACAGAAAUUAGAAGUAGAAAUCAGGAUGAAGCGAUGCCUCGUCACGGUGGAGAAGACAAUUGCAGGAAAUCGUCUCCGUACGAUUCGUCGAGAGAUCGACGCUCGAGUCACCACAAGGUCUUGGUGUUUGAACUACUAUGUAGUAAGUUUUUUCACAGGUCUUGGUGUUUGAACUACUCUGUAGUAAGUUUUUGCGGAGUGGAUUGUGUUCGUUGUUCAAAACAAGCGGUUCUCGUGUUGACAAGUGCGAUUUGAGUCAAAUUUAGUCGUAUAGAUAACUGUAGUCAUGUAUAGUUCCAUGUAGUUAUAUAUAUUUAUAUACAAGCUAUGUGGUUUUUCUGAUGUAUAGUGAUCUUGAUGAUUGUGUUUUUUUU